rnacentral:rRNA from 1 species
GCGGCAGGCCUAAUACAUGCAAGUCGAGCGCGCCCUUCGGGGUGAGCGGCGGACGGGUGAGUAACGCGUGGGAAUAUGCCCUUCUCUAAGGAAUAGCCUCUGGAAACGGAGAGUAAUACCUUAUACGCCCUUUGGGGGAAAGAUUUAUCGGAGAAGGAUUAGCCCGCGUUAGAUUAGUUUGUUGGUGAGGUAAUGGCUCACCAAGACUAUGAUCUAUAACUGGUUUGAGAGGAUGAUCAGUCACACUGGAACUGAGACACGGUCCAGACUCCUACGGGAGACAGCAGUGGGGAAUCUUAGACAAUGGGGGAAACCCUGAUCUAGCCAUGCCGCGUGUGUGACGAAGGCCUUAGGGUCGUAAAGCACUUUCGCCAGAGAUGAUAAUGACAGUAUCUGGUAAAGAAACCCCGGCUAACUCCGUGCCAGCAGCCGCGGUAAUACGGAGGGGGUUAGCGUUGUUCGGAAUUACUGGGCGUAAAGCGUACGUAGGCGGAUUAGUAAGUUAGAGGUGAAAUCCCAGGGCUCAACCCUGGAACUGCCUUUAAUACUGCUAGUCUAGAGUUCGAGAGAGGUGACUGGAAUUCCAAGUGUAGAGGUGAAAUUCGUAGAUAUUUGGAGGAACACCAGUGGCGAAGGCGGCUCACUGGCUCGAUACUGACGCUGAGGUACGAAAGUGUGGGGAGCAAACAGGAUUAGAUACCCUGGUAGUCCACACCGUAAACGAUGAAUGCCAGUCGUCGGGUAGUAUACUAUUCGGUGACACACCUAACGGAGUAAGCAUUCCGCCUGGGGAGUACGGUCGCAAGAUUAAAACUCAAAGGAAUUGACGGGGGCCCGCACAAGCGGUGGAGCAUGUGGUUUAAUUCGAAGC